UACAGAGACUGCAAGCGUUAUUCGGAUUCACUGGGCGUAAAGGGUGCGCAGGCGGUUGGGUGUGUCAGAUGUGAAAUCCCGAGGCUUAACCUCGGAACUGCGUCUGAAACUACUCGACUAGAGUACUGGAGAGGGAAACGGAAUUCACGGUGUAGCAGUGAAAUGCGUAGAGAUCGGGAGGAACACCAGUGGCGAAGGCGGCCUUCUGGACCAAUACUGACGCUCAUGCACGAAAGCGUGGGGAGCAAACAGG
rnacentral:rRNA from 1 species